rnacentral:tRNA from 1 species
GCCCGGCUAGCUCAGUCGGUAGAGCAUGAGACUCUUAAUGUCAGGGUCGUGGGUUAGAGCCCCAUAUUGGGCG